rnacentral:rRNA from 1 species
GCUGACGAGUGGCGAACGGGUGAGUAACGCGUACGCAACUUACCCCUAACUAAGGAAUAGCCCCGGGAAACUGGGAUUAAUACCUUAUAAUAUUUUGUUCCGGCAUCGGAAUAAGAUUAAAACUCCGGUGGUUAGGGAUGGGCGUGCGUCCCAUUAGCUUGUUGGUGAGGUAACGGCUCACCAAGGCAACGAUGGGUAGCUGGCGUGAGAGCGCGAUCAGCCACACGGGCACUGAGACACGGGCCCG